rfam:Salmo salar isolate Sally breed double haploid chromosome ssa20, whole genome shotgun sequence.
UGCACUCACUACUGUAAGUCACUUUGGAUAAGAGUGUCUGCUAAAUGACUAAAA